rnacentral:lncRNA from 1 species
AUCCCCAUUGCAGGGCGGGGAGGCACCCACCGCGAGGGGGAGACUGAGAGCCAGUCCCUCCCACCCCCGGCUCUUAGGACUCGCAUCGCAAGCGGGGGAGGCACGCCACGCGAGGCGGGGACUGAGAGCCAGCCCCCCUUCCCCCCGGGCUUAGGACCCCCAUCGCGGUUCCUAAGAUCCUUAGGACCCACCUGGAGGACUGUGGGUAUGGGGUGUCCAAGAAGAAAGCUCAGAUCUGCCCACGGCAGGUACCUUACUUGGGAUUUACAAUCGACAGGGGUCCGAACGCAGCCCGGGAAAAGAAAGAAAGCAGGACCCCCAUCGCAGGGACGGAGGCACCCGCAGCGAGGCGGGGACUGAGAGCCUGCCCCUCUUACCCCCCUGGCUCUUAGGACCCCCAUCGCAGGAGUCGGAGGCACCCCCCGCGAGGCGGGGACUGAGAGAGAGCUCCUCUUCCCCCCCAGGAUCUUAGGACCCCCAUCGCGGGGGGGGAGGCACUCCCGCCAGGCGAGGACUGAGAGCCAGCCCCUUUUCAUCCCCUGGCUCUUAGGACCCCCAUCGCAGGGGGGGAGGCACACACCGCAAGGCGGGAACUGAGAGCCAGCCCCACUUCCCCCCUGGCUCUUGUGACCCCCAUCGCUGGGGGGAGGCACCCCCCGCGAGGCGGGGACUGAGAGCCAGCCCCUCUUCCCCCCCUGGCUAAGACCCCCAUCGCGAAUCCUAAGAUCCUUAGGACCCACCUGGAGGACCCUGGGUAUUAGGUGUCCAAGAAGAAAGCUCAGAUCUGCCGACCGCAGGUACCUUACUUGGGAUUUACUAUACCACAGGGGUCCGAACGCAGCCCGGGAUCAGGAAGAAAGCAGGUCGUUUGCAAUCUACCGGAGCCUAAGGGCAGAAGGCAGGAUCGUGGGAACAAUAUCCCAGGGGGGUUUCCACUUUCUGCCAUAUAUGUAGUCACAUCGCCCACUCCGCCUUGGAAUAUUAUUAAGGACCAUCUAACACGAGGGUGUAUACGUCCUGCGAUAUUACGAGUAAUAUCAACUUCUUGGCCUCUGAAUAUGAGGAAGAAUAUCACAGGGGGUCCGAAUGCAGCCCGGGAUCACAAAGAAAGCAGGUCGUUUGCAAUCUACCAGAGCCUAAGGGCAGAAGGCAGGAUCGUGGGAACAAUAUCCCAUGGGGGUGUACCCUUUCUGCCAUAUAUGUAGUCACAUCACCCACUCCGCCUUGGAAUAUUAUUAAGGACCAUCUAACACGAGGGUGUAUACGUCCUGUGAUAUUGGGAGUAAUAUCAACUUCUCGGCCUCUGAAUAUGAGGAAGAAUAUCACAGGGAUAUUAAUAACAAUUUCACAGGCUGGGUGAACACAGCCGGCGAUGCUGAAAUUAUUAUCAUCCUCUCCCCCUCUUCCCCUCCUGGCUCUCAGUCCCCGCCUCACGGGUUAUGUAGCGGGUUAUGGCAAGAAGACAAACUGCAGUUUCCUGCACAGAACAGCACAAACAAUGAUCCAAGCUCAGUUACAACACAAUAUUGGUCAUCAUUUGACCAUGGACUUCAAUAUCAACCCUUAGAAACCUUCCUAAAACAGGUCAGCAAAACACCAAGAAGCAAUAUCCUGAAUGAUAGGAAAAUAUCCUUGCUUGUGCAAAUUGUUUCCACUUAAUUUUUUUCAACAAAUGUUAAUUAUAUUUUUACUUUCUAAAAAUUUUUAAUAAAAUAUAGCCUACUUGGUUAAAAAUGGUGUCAAAGCUUUUCUAAAAGUUAAGGCAUUACAUAAUUCAGUGGCCCCUGUGGCUGCCAUGGAUAAUUCUUU